rnacentral:rRNA from 1 species
UACGGGGGGGGCAAGCGUUGUUCGGAAUUACUGGGCGUAAAGGGCGCGUAGGCGGCCUGCUAAGUCGGAUGUGAAAUCCCUCGGCUCAACCGAGGGACUGCAUCCGAUACUGGCGGGCUUGAAUCCGGGAGAGGGAUGUGGAAUUCCAGGUGUAGCGGUGAAAUGCGUAGAUAUCUGGAGGAACACCGGUGGCGAAGGCGGCAUCCUGGACCGGUAUUGACGCUGAGGCGCGAAAGCUAGGGGAGCAAACGGG